UACGGGGGGGGCAAGCGUUGUUCGGAAUUACUGGGCGUAAAGGGCGCGUAGGCGGCCUUCUAAGUCGGACGUGAAAUCCCUCGGCUUAACCGAGGAACUGCGUCCGAUACUGAAAGGCUUGAAUCCGGGAGAGGGAUGUGGAAUUCCAGGUGUAGCGGUGAAAUGCGUAGAUAUCUGGAGGAAUACCGGUGGCGAAGGCGGCAUCCUGGACCGACAUUGACGCUGAGGAGCGAAAGCUAGGGGAGCAAACGGG
rnacentral:rRNA from 1 species